rnacentral:rRNA from 1 species
UGGAUUAGCUUUCUCACAUAAGAACAUAUAAAUUACUUAGUGGGUGAAAAGUCCCAUAGUAAGAGGAAAGACGAGAAGACCCUAGAAAUUUUGUAUACAAAUUAUAUAUUUUAUUUUGUUGGGGCGACAUAGUAACAAAUAACUUACUGUAUUAACAAGCUACUAAUAAGUUGAGAGAAUAAAUUACUCUAGGGAUAACAGCAUUAUUCAUUAUGAGUUUAUGACCUCGAUGUUGGACUA